UGCCUCUUUCAUUAGCUUCUUUCUCAACUGUUCAUUUCUGAAGCAGAGAGAGAUUGAGUUUAAGCUUUGAACUGGGAAGGCCUAAUCAAGUUACUGGCGCAUCUGAAGCCAUCGUUGUGAAAAAACUCAAAACUCUAGGUUCUUUGUAUGAACAACUCAAGAAAAGAUCAAGAACAACCUAAUCAAGGCAAGGCUCUUCUCUGUUUACCAAUACAAAUAAUUCACAUUACUUAAGCUUUUUUUUUUUCCAAAAAAACUAAUAAAUCCUAACUGCAGCAGUUGCAAAGUCAGCCACCAUAACAAUAUUUGCUGCCUAUGCUGAGGACGAGGCACAAAUACUGACUAUGCAUUUCCUCCACUAAACCACUAUUUUUUACCUUUGACUUUGGGAGUUUUUUUCUUGGUUAUUCCUCCACCAAACCAAACCACUAUUUUCUACCUUAUCAAGGCUAAUGGUGUUGGUGAUUGUGAUGACGACCAUGGAGGGCUCUUCUUCUCCACCAUUUGUUUAAAAUCCAUCAGGUAUUUGUUUAUUGGGUUUCUGUUUGUUUCAGUUUUGCUUCUGUUUGUUUUGCUCUGAUUUUGCUAUUACUCUGUUUACCCUUUAUGCAUUA